rnacentral:SRP_RNA from 1 species
UCAACCGGUCCAGGGGGGUAAUCCAGCACAGCUGGUGGCCGCAAGGGUGGCAG